AAUACCGGAUGGUUGUCUGAACCGCAUGGUUCAGACAUAAAAGGUGGCUUCGGCUACCACUUACAGAUGGACCCGCGGCGCAUUAGCUAGUUGGUGAGGUAACGGCUCACCAAGGCGACGAUGCGUAGCCGACCUGAGAGGGUGAUCGGCCACACUGGGACUGAGACACGGCCCAGACUCCUACGGGAGGCAGCAGUAGGGAAUCUUCCGCAAUGGACGAAAGUCUGACGGAGCAACGCCGCGUGAGUGAUGAAGGUUUUCGGAUCGUAAAGCUCUGUUGUUAGGGAAGAACAAGUGCCGUUCAAAUAGGGCGGCACCUUGACGGUACCUAACCAGAAAGCCACGGCUAACUACGUGCCAGCAGCCGCGGUAAUACGUAGGUGGCAAGCGUUGUCCGGAAUUAUUGGGCGUAAAGGGCUCGCAGGCGGUUUCUUAAGUCUGAUGUGAAAGCCCCCGGCUCAACCGGGGAGGGUCAUUGGAAACUGGGGAACUUGAGUGCAGAAGAGGAGAGUGGAAUUCCACGUGUAGCGGUGAAAUGCGUAGAGAUGUGGAGGAACACCAGUGGCGAAGGCGACUCUCUGGUCUGUAACUGACGCUGAGGAGCGAAAGCGUGGGGAGCGAACAGGAUUAGAUACCCUGGUAGUCCACGCCGUAAACGAUGAGUGCUAAGUGUUAGGGGGUUUCCGCCCCUUAGUGCUGCAGCUAACGCAUUAAGCACUCCGCCUGGGGAGUACGGUCGCAAGACUGAAACUCAAAGGAAUUGACGGGGGCCCGCACAAGCGGUGGAGCAUGUGGUUUAAUUCGAAGCAACGCGAAGAACCUUACCAGGUCUUGACAUCCUCUGACAAUCCUAGAGAUAGGACGUCCCCUUCGGGGGCAGAGUGACAGGUGGUGCAUGGUUGUCGUCAGCUCGUGUCGUGAGAUGUUGGGUUAAGUCCCGCAACGAGCGCAACCCUUGAUCUUAGUUGCCAGCAUUCAGUUGGGCACUCUAAGGUGACUGCCGGUGACAAACCGGAGGAAGGUGGGGAUGACGUCAAAUCAUCAUGCCCCUUAUGACCUGGGCUACACACGUGCUACAAUGGACAGAACAAAGGGCAGCGAAACCGCGAGGUUAAGCCAAUCCCACAAAUCUGUUCUCAGUUCGGAUCGCAGUCUGCAACUCGACUGCGUGAAGCUGG
rnacentral:rRNA from 1 species